CCUACGGGAGGCAGCAGUGAGAAAUAUUGGUCAAUGGACGAGAGUCUGAACCAGCCAAGUAGCGUGAAGGAUGACUGCCCUAUGGGUUGUAAACUUCUUUUAUAUGGGAAUAAAAUGUUCCACGUGUGGGAUUUUGUAUGUACCAUAUGAAUAAGGAUCGGCUAACUCCGUGCCAGCAGCCGCGGUAAUACGGAGGAUCCGAGCGUUAUCCGGAUUUAUUGGGUUUAAAGGGAGCGUAGGUGGAUUGUUAAGUCAGUUGUGAAAGUUUGCGGCUCAACCGUAAAAUUGCAGUUGAAACUGGCAGUCUUGAGUACAGUAGAGGUGAGCGGAAUUCGUGGUGUAGCGGUGAAAUGCUUAGAUAUCACGAAGAACUCCGAUUGCGAAGGCAGUUCACUGGACUGCAACUGACACUGAGGCUCGAAAGUGUGGGUAUCAAACAGGAUUAGAUACCCGGGUAGUC
rnacentral:rRNA from 1 species